rnacentral:rRNA from 1 species
AUUGAACGCUGGCGGCAGGCCUAACACAUGCAAGUCGAGCGGUAACACAGGGAGCUUGCUCCCGGGUGACGAGCGGCGGACGGGUGAGUAAUGUCUGGGAAACUGCCUGAUGGAGGGGGAUAACUACUGGAAACGGUAGCUAAUACCGCAUAACGUCGCAAGACCAAAGAGGGGGACCUUCGGGCCUCUUGCCAUCAGAUGUGCCCAGAUGGGAUUAGCUAGUAGGUGGGGUAACGGCUCACCUAGGCGACGAUCCCUAGCUGGUCUGAGAGGAGGACCAGCCACACUGGAACUGAGACACGGUCCAGACUCCUACGGGAGGCAGCAGUGGGGAAUAUUGCACAAUGGGCGCAAGCCUGAUGCAGCCAUGCCGCGUGUAUGAAGAAGGCCUUCGGGUUGUAAAGUACUUUCAGCGGGGAGGAAGGCGAUAAGGUUAAUAACCUUGUCGAUUGACGUUACCCGCAGAAGAAGCACCGGCUAACUCCGUGCCAGCCGCCGCCGUAAUAC